GAUGAACGCUGGCGGCGUGCCUAAUACAUGCAAGUCGAGCGAAUGGAUUAAGAGCUUGCUCUUAUAAAGUUAGCGGCGGACGGGUGAGUAACACGUGGGUAACCUGCCCAUAAGACUGGGAUAACUCCGGGAAACCGGGGCUAAUACCGGAUAACAUUUUGAACCGCAUGGUUCGAAAUUGAAAGGCGGCUUCGGCUGUCACUUACGGAUGGACCCGCGUCGCAUUAGCUAGUUGGUGAGGUAACGGCUCACCAAGGCAACGAUGCGUAGCCGACCUGAGAGGGUGAUCGGCCACACUGGGACUGAGACACGGCCCAGACUCCUACGGGAGGCAGCAGUAGGGAAUCUUCCGCAAUGGACGAAAGUCUGACGGAGCAACGCCGCGUGAGUGAUGAAGGCUUUCGGGUCGUAAAACUCUGUUGUUAGGGAAGAACAAGUGCUAGUUGAAUAAGCUGGCACCUUGACGGUACCUAACCAGAAAGCCACGGCUAACUACGUGCCAGCCGCCGCCUAA
rnacentral:rRNA from 1 species